rnacentral:rRNA from 1 species
UACGUAGGGUGCAAGCGUUAAUCGGAAUUACUGGGCGUAAAGCGUGCGCAGGCGGUGAUGUAAGACAGAUGUGAAAUCCCCGGGCUCAACCUGGGACCUGCAUUUGUGACUGCAUCGCUAGAGUACGGUAGAGGGGGAUGGAAUUCCGCGUGUAGCAGUGAAGUGCGUAGAUAUGCGGAGGAACACCGAUGGCGAAGGCAAUCCCCUGGACCUGUACUGACGCUCAUGCACGAAAGCGUGGGGAGCAAACAGG